rnacentral:rRNA from 1 species
UACGUAGGGCGCAAGCGUUGUCCGGAAUUAUUGGGCGUAAAGAGCUCGUAGGCGGUUUGUCGCGUCUGCUGUGAAAACCUAAGGCUCAACCUUGGGCUUGCAGUGGGUACGGGCAGACUAGAGUGCGGUAGGGGUGACUGGAAUUCCUGGUGUAGCGGUGGAAUGCGCAGAUAUCAGGAGGAACACCGAUGGCGAAGGCAGGUCACUGGGCCGCAACCUG